CUGUAGGUCAGAAGUCCAUGACUGGGUUCUCUGCUUGGGGUCACAUAGGCUGAAAUCAAGUCAGCAGGAAUCAUUGAUCAGUAGCCAGUGGAAAAUACCAGACGACUUUUGGAAAAUGCUGUUAAAAGCCUGUCAGCUCAUCGUCCUCACUUUUGCCAGUCUGGUAACCACUGUGAAGAAAGCAGAUUGAGAAGGGAGGAAACAAUGCCAGCGCUUUCUGAGGAUAAUGCAGGAUCUCAUUCAUGUGCACCACCUCAGCACCUGGCAUGUACUAGGAGCUCAAAUUUCCUAUGCUUAGCUGGUUAGGACUAUUUUAUUUUUUGGCUCAAAACAUUUUUCAAAAAUGUUGUAUCUUAAAUGGUUAUUAAUUGUUAACGAGAAAUAAGCCAGAGUGUAUGUUGGUCAAAUGG